rnacentral:lncRNA from 10 species
CAGAGCUCGGGACUGGUGCUGACCUGCAGGAUGGAGGAGAGAAGAGAAGACUCAUCAACAGAACAAAUGUUGCUGGAACAUUACUUAUAAUGGCAACAAUUGGAAACAAUCAAAGGAUGUCACUAUAGGGACUUGGGUUAAGAAAAUUAUGACACAUCAAAAGCACAGUGAAGAGAACUUCUGUCAAUCCUGUCAAGCACAUGAAGAUGUGAAGUUUCAACUGGAUUCAUUUCUAUAAAUAAGUUAAGUUCUUCCUAAUUUAUAAGAAAUAACACUUGGACAACUUAAUAGUGUAUUUUCCCAGGUAUUAUGAAGAGAACAUUAAUGUUUAUUCUAAGUAUGUUUAGGUCUAGUUAAAAUAGAAAAAAUACAGAUGUUUGAGAAUCUCCAAAGAAAUUAAAUAGAGUAAAAACGGCAUCUAACCAAGGAGCUGUCACCCUGAGGUCCUCUCUAAAGGACAGAAGAGCUGGAAAGAGUCCAUUUUUCCCCUUGAGAGCUGUACCCCCUUCCCAAGAGACGAAUACAGAGACAUUCACUUUCCUAAACUUGAAUUGUCUCUGUUAAAAUUAGUAAGGGGCAAGUCAAAUAACCUACCAGAAGGCUUUAAAUUUUGGGAUAUCCUUCUGAACUUAGGAUAUUUAUCUGUAUCCCACCUGAACUCUGAAUCUUGUAUGGGUCACUUGUCACCACCGUAAAAUCUCCAUUCCCUCCCCUUUUCUUCCUGGAAAU